CCUACGGGAGGCAGCAGUGGGGAAUUUUGGACAAUGGGCGAAAGCCUGAUCCAGCAAUGCCGCGUGUGUGAAGAAGGCCUUCGGGUUGUAAAGCACUUUUGUUCGGGAAGAAAAGGAGUGGGCUAAUAUCCUGCUCUGAUGACGGUACCGGAAGAAUAAGCACCGGCUAACUACGUGCCAGCAGCCGCGGUAAUACGUAGGGUGCAAGCGUUAAUCGGAAUUACUGGGCGUAAAGCGUGCGCAGGCGGUUUGUUAAGACAGAUGUGAAAUCCCCGGGCUCAACCUGGGAACUGCAUUUGUGACUGGCAAGCUAGAGUCUGGCAGAGGGGGGUGGAAUUCCGCGUGUAGCAGUGAAAUGCGUAGAUAUGCGGAGGAACACCGAUGGCGAAGGCAGCCCCCUGGGCCAACACUGACGCUCAUGCACGAAAGCGUGGGGAGCAAACAGGAUUAGAUACCCUGGUAGUCCACGCCCUAAACGAUGUCAACUAGUUGUUGGGGGAUUCAUUUCCUUAGUAACGUAGCUAAACGCGUGAAGUUGACCCGCCUGGGGGAGUACGGUCGCAAGAUUAAAACUCAAAAGGAAUUGACGGCNGAGAGNGCGAGACGACACGAGGGAGGAGG
rnacentral:rRNA from 1 species